rnacentral:rRNA from 1 species
UCUACCUUUUGCAGGGGAAUAGCCCAGAGAAAUUUGGAUUAAUGCCCCAUAGUAUAAUGAUAAGGCAUCUUAUUAUUAUUAAAGUCACAACGGCAAAAGAUGAGCAUGCGUCCCAUUAGCUAGUUGGUAAGGUAACGGCUUACCAAGGCAAUGAUGGGUAGGGGUCCUGAGAGGGAGAUCCCCCACACUGGUACUGAGACACGGACCAGACUCCUACGGGAGGCAGCAGUGAGGAAUAUUGGACAAUGGGCGCAAGCCUGAUCCAGCCAUGCCGCGUGCAGGAAGACGGUCCUAUGGAUUGUAAACUGCUUUUAUACAGGAAGAAACACUCCCUCGUGAGGGAACUUGACGGUACUGUAGGAAUAAGGAUCGGCUAACUCCGUGCCAGCAGCCGCGGUAAUACGGAGGAUCCAAGCGUUAUCCGGAAUCAUUGGGUUUAAAGGGUCCGUAGGCGGUUUGAUAAGUCAGUGGUGAAAGCCCAUCGCUCAACGAUGGAACGGCCAUUGAUACUGUCAGACUUGAAUCACUAGGAAGUAACUAGAAUAUGUAGUGUAGCGGUGAAAUGCUUAGAUAUUACAUGGAAUACCAAUUGCGAAGGCAGGUUACUACUAGUGGAUUGACGCUGAUGGACGAAAGCGUGGGGAGCGAACAGGAUUAGAUACCCUGGUAGUCCACGCCGUAAA